ACUCCUACGGGAGGCAGCAGUAGGGAAUCUUCGGCAAUGGGGGCAACCCUGACCGAGCAACGCCGCGUGAGUGAAGAAGGUUUUCGGAUCGUAAAACUCUGUUGUUAGAGAAGAACGUUAAGUAGAGUGGAAAAUUACUUAAGUGACGGUAUCUAACCAGAAAGGGACGGCUAACUACGUGCCAGCAGCCGCGGUAAUACGUAGGUCCAAGCGUUGUCCGGAUUUAUUGGGCGUAAAGCGAGCGCAGGUGGUUUCUUAAGUCUGAUGUAAAAGGCAGUGGCUCAACCAUUGUGUGCAUUGGAAACUGGGAGACUUGAGUGCAGGAGAGGAGAGUGGAAUUCCAUGUGUAGCGGUGAAAUGCGUAGAUAUAUGGAGGAACACCGGAGGCGAAAGCGGCUCUCUGGCCUGUAACUGACACUGAGGCUCGAAAGCGUGGGGAGCAAACAGGAUUAGAUACCCUGGUAGCGACUGA
rnacentral:rRNA from 1 species